GCCGGAAUCGUCUAAUGGUAGGACAUAAGUUUUCCAAACUGAGUGUGUCGGUUCAAUCCCGACUUCCGGCUCCA
rnacentral:tRNA from 1 species